rnacentral:rRNA from 1 species
GACGAACGCUGGCGGCGUGCUUAACACAUGCAAGUCGAACGGAAAGGCCCUGCUUUUGUGGGGCGCUCGAGUGGCGAACGGGUGAGUAACACGUGAGUAACCUGCCCUUGACUUUGGGAUAACUUCAGGAAACUGGGGCUAAUACCGGAUAGGAGCUCCUGCUGCAUGGUGGGGGUUGGAAAGUUUCGGCGGUUGGGGAUGGACUCGCGGCUUAUCAGCGUGUUGGUGGGGUAGUGGCUUACCAAGGCUUUGGCCGAUUGCCGGCCUGUGAGGGUGACCGGCGACAUUGGGACUGAGGUACGGCCCAGACUCCUACGGGAGGCAGCAGUGGGGAAUAUUGCACAAUGGGCGGAAGCCUAAUGCAGCAACGCCGCGUGCGGGAUGACGGCCUUCGGGUUGUAAACCGCUUUCGCCUGUGACGAAGCGUGAGUGACGGUAAUGUGUAAAGAAGCACCGGCUAACUACGUG